rnacentral:misc_RNA from 1 species
AACGCACAUUGCGCCCUCUGGUAUUCCGGGGGGCAUGCCUGUCCGAGCGUCAUUGCAACCCUCAAGCACGGCUUGUGUUAUGGGCUUCCCGUCCCGCUAUCUCAGUGGACGAGCCCGAAAUGCAGUGAUCGCCGCCGCGAUACCGGCGCCCGAGCGAAUGGGAAUUUACACCAAAGCUCAGUGGGCCCGGCCGGCAGUUUCGGUCCUACAACCAUUUUUUUCUAAGGUUGACCUCGGAUCAGGUAGGGAUACCCGCUGAACUUAA